CUUCAACGAGCCGAUCAAAAGCGGCCGUUGACGUCCCUGCCCAUAGGUCGCCAGCAGCGCCUGCGCCUC
rnacentral:antisense_RNA from 1 species